rnacentral:RNase_P_RNA from 1 species
GGAGUCGACCAGACAGUCGCGACGCAUCUUCGGAUGCGCCGAGGAAAGUCCGGGCUCCACAGGGCACGGUGCCAGGUAACGCCUGGGCGGCGCGAGCCGACGGAAAGUGCAACAGAGAGCAGACCGCCGAACGGCUCCCCCGGGAGCGCGUGGCAAGGGUGAAACGGUGCGGUAAGAGCGCACCGCGAGUCCGGCAACGGACCGGCACGGCAAACCCCACCGGGAGCAAGACCAAAUAGGGGCGUCAUGGUGUGGCCCGCACCGCGCCCGGGUAGGUCGCUGGAGCCUUGCGGCGACGCAAGGCCGAGAGGAAUGACUGUCCACGACAGAACCCGGCUUAUCGGUCGGCUCCGCCC